GCUGGCGGCAGGCCUAACACAUGCAAGUCGAGCGGUAGAGAGAAGCUUGCUUCUCUUGAGAGCGGCGGACGGGUGAGUAAUGCCUAGGAAUCUGCCUGGUAGUGGGGGAUAACGUUCGGAAACGGACGCUAAUACCGCAUACGUCCUACGGGAGAAAGCAGGGGACCUUCGGGCCUUGCGCUAUCAGAUGAGCCUAGGUCGGAUUAGCUAGUUGGUGAGGUAAUGGCUCACCAAGGCGACAAUCCGUAACUGGUCUGAGAGGAUGAUCAGUCACACUGGAACUGAGACACGGUCCAGACUCCUACGGGAGGCAGCAGUGGGGAAUAUUGGACAAUGGGCGAAAGCCUGAUCCAGCCAUGCCGCGUGUGUGAAGAAGGUCUUCGGAUUGUAAAGCACUUUAAGUUGGGAGGAAGGGUUGUAGAUUAAUACUCUGCAAUUUUGACGUUACCGACAGAAUAAGCACCGGCUAACUCUGUGCCAGCAGCCGCGGUAAUACAGAGGGUGCAAGCGUUAAUCGGAAUUACUGGGCGUAAAGCGCGCGUAGGUGGUUUGUUAAGUUGGAUGUGAAAUCCCCGGGCUCAACCUGGGAACUGCAUUCAAAACUGACUGACUAGAGUAUGGUAGAGGGUGGUGGAAUUUCCUGUGUAGCGGUGAAAUGCGUAGAUAUAGGAAGGAACACCAGUGGCGAAGGCGACCACCUGGACUAAUACUGACACUGAGGUGCGAAAGCGUG
rnacentral:rRNA from 1 species